rnacentral:rRNA from 1 species
UACAGAGGUCUCGAGCGUUGUUCGGAUUCAUUGGGCGUAAAGGGCGCGUAGGCGGCGGGGUAAGUCUGGUGUGAAAUCUCGGAGCUCAACUCCGAAAUUGCACUGGAUACUGCUCUGCUAGAGGGCUGGAGAGGAGAUCGGAAUUCACGGUGUAGCAGUGAAAUGCGUAGAUAUCGUGAGGAAGACCAGUGGCGAAGGCGGAUCUCUGGACAGCUCCUGACGCUGAGGCGCGAAGGCGUAGGGGAGCAAACGGG